CUACUCUUGUGAUGUGUAGCGCUGGGCUUUGACCACCCUGAGGACAUGAUGAUGCCUUACCCCAAGACCUUUCCAGGAGGUAUGCAGGACCGCAGUGGGGGAGGGG
ensembl:snoRNA